UUAAGUGACUAAGCGUACACGGUGGAUGCCUUGGCAGUCAGAGGCGAUGAAGGACGUAUUAACUUGCGAUAAGCCCAGAUUAGGUAGUAAAAACCAUUUGAGUCUGGGAUUUCCGAAUGGGGAAACCCACUAGCAUAAGCUAGUAUCGCUGCGUGAAUACAUAGCGCAGCGAGGCGAACCGGGGGAACUGAAACAUCUAAGUACCCCGAGGAAAAGAAAUCAACCGAGAUUCCGAAAGUAGCGGCGAGCGAAAUUGGACUAGCCCUUAAGCUUUUUAUGCGUCAGGUGAAACUUCUGGAAAGUUGUGCGAUACAGGGUGAUAGCCCCGUAACCGGCAACGCAUUUAAAGUGAAAUCGAGUAGGGCGGGACACGUGAUAUCCUGUCUGAAUAUGGGGGGACCAUCCUCCAAGGCUAAAUACUACUGACUGACCGAUAGUGAACCAGUACCGUGAGGGAAAGGCGAAAAGAACCCCUGUGAGGGGAGUGAAAUAGAACCUGAAACCGUGUACGUACAAGCAGUAGGAGCACCUUCGUGGUGUGACUGCGUACCUUUUGUAUAAUGGGUCAGCGACUUAUAUUCAGUGGCAAGGUUAACCAUCUAGGGGAGCCGUAGGGAAACCGAGUCUUAACUGGGCGUUCAGUCUCUGGAUAUAGACCCGAAACCAGGUGAUCUAGCCAUGGGCAGGUUGAAGGUUGAGUAACAUCAACUGGAGGACCGAACCGACUAAUGUUGAAAAAUUAGCGGAUGACUUGUGGCUAGGGGUGAAAGGCCAAUCAAACCUGGAGAUAGCUGGUUCUCCCCGAAAGCUAUUUAGGUAGCGCCUCGGACGAAUACUACUGGGGGUAGAGCACUGUUAAGGCUAGGGGGUCAUCCCGACUUACCAACCCUUUGCAAACUCCGAAUACCAGUAAGUACUAUCCGGGAGACACACGGCGGGUGCUAACGUCCGUCGUGGAGAGGGAAACAACCCAGACCGCCAGCUAAGGUCCCAAAUUACUACUAAGUGGGAAACGAUGUGGGAAGGCUCAGACAGCCAGGAUGUUGGCUUAGAAGCAGCCAUCAUUUAAAGAAAGCGUAAUAGCUCACUGGUCGAGUCGGCCUGCGCGGAAGAUGUAACGGGGCUAAGUAGUAAACCGAAGCUGCGGCAAUGCACUUUAGUGCAUUGGGUAGGGGAGCGUUCUGUAAGCGGUUGAAGGUGUGUGGUAACGCAUGCUGGACGUAUCAGAAGUGCGAAUGCUGACAUGAGUAACGAUAAAGGGGGUGAAAAACCUCCUCGCCGGAAGACCAAGGGUUCCUGUCCAACGUUAAUCGGGGCAGGGUAAGUCGACCCCUAAGGCGAGGCCGAAAGGCGUAGUCGAUGGGAAACGGGUUAAUAUUCCCGUACUUCUUACAAUUGCGAUGGGGGGACGGAGAAGGCUAGGUGGGCCUGGCGACGGUUGUCCAGGUUCAAGUGCGUAGGCUUAAGAGUUAGGUAAAUCCGGCUCUUUCUAAGGCUGAGACACGACGUCGAGCUACUACGGUAGUGAAGUCAUUGAUGCCAUGCUUCCAGGAAAAGCCUCUAAGCUUCAGAUUGUAAGGAAUCGUACCCCAAACCGACACAGGUGGUCGGGUAGAGAAUACCAAGGCGCUUGAGAGAACUCGGGUGAAGGAACUAGGCAAAAUGGUACCGUAACUUCGGGAGAAGGUACGCUCUCGACGGUGAAGUCCCUUGCGGAUGGAGCUAUUGAGAGUCGCAGAUACCAGGUGGCUGCAACUGUUUAUUAAAAACACAGCACUGUGCAAAAUCGUAAGAUGACGUAUACGGUGUGACGCCUGCCCGGUGCCGGAAGGUUAAUUGAUGGGGUUAGACUUCGGUCGAAGCUCUUGAUCGAAGCCCCGGUAAACGGCGGCCGUAACUAUAACGGUCCUAAGGUAGCGAAAUUCCUUGUCGGGUAAGUUCCGACCUGCACGAAUGGCGUAAUGAUGGCCACGCUGUCUCCACCCGAGACUCAGUGAAAUUGAAAUCGCUGUGAAGAUGCAGUGUACCCGCGGCUAGACGGAAAGACCCCGUGAACCUUUACUACAGCUUGGCACUGAACAUUGACCCUACAUGUGUAGGAUAGGUGGGAGGCUUUGAAGCACAGUCGCUAGAUUGUGUGGAGCCGUCCUUGAAAUACCACCCUUGUAGUGUUGAUGUUCUAACGUUGACCCCU
rnacentral:rRNA from 1 species